UUUUGUGGGAAACUGAGGUUUCUAUAAUCAAUAUUUAUUUAUUUGUUUUCUUUUUUCAUAUUUCAUUAUCUUUUUAUAGACUUCCUAUUAAAAGCUAUGUUUUAAAUAUAUUAGCAACAUCUCUUUAGGGCAGUGCCUCUCUCUUUUUCAUUAUAUAAAAAAAGACAACUCUGUUCCGCAGAGUAGCUGUUGACAUUAUAGUUGCGCAGGCACUUUGUUGAUUCUAGAGAACCUCGGGCCAAUCGCACAUCCCCGUGACGGCGACUUUGCAUUCGGAUGUCAUCCAUAUCAACUUUCGAUGCCAGUUUCUGCGCCUACCAUGGUGACCAUGGGUAAUGGGGAAUCAGGGUUCCAUUCCGUACAGGGACCCUGAGAAAUGGCUACCACAUGCAAGGAAGGCAGCAGGCGCACAAAUGACCCACUACUGACGCGGGAAGGUAGUGACAACAAAUAACUAUACAGGACUCUUUAGAGGAACUGUAAUUGUAAUGAGUCCACUUGAAAUCCUUUAACUCUGAUCAAUUGGAGGGAAGUCUGGUGCAGAGCCACUGACUCGUGCGUGUUGCAUCUGAAACUCUACUA